GUAAAGUGUUAAAUCUCCUGCCCACGUUUUUAUGUCGCGUAAGAGCAGAUUAUCUCUCAACUGGGUACAGGGUGCCCAGAAAUAUCGAGCACCCCAAAGAAAGUUUUUCAUUAAAAAUAUAGGUUGGCAACGUGAAAUAGAUGCAUAUGAUUGGUCUGAAUGUUAUCUAUCCAGUCCAACAACCAAUCAUGUGCUAUCAUUAUUAUCAUUCACUGUGACCAACCAAAGUAUUUUAGUAGAAAACUUUUUUAGGGGUGCUCGAUAUUUCUGGGCACCCUGUAUAUGCCAAUCACUGAAAUACAUAUCUUGGUUCCCAAUUUUCAGAUUUAUCUCAAUUUGUCUUUCACUCCAUAUUCUAUAUGCCUGGAUGUUGUCUUUGAGUCUGUUCUGGGUAUAAAUCAUAAUCCCUGCUCUGGCACAUUCAGCUUUUCCUAGUCCAGCAUAUACUCGGGUGAAUUCUCCGCACUCAUCGGUGCCGCUGCUCUUUUUCUUGGUUUCUGUGAUAACGGCUAUGUCCAUGUUUCUCUGCAUCAAGAUGUAUUCCAGCUCCUCUUCUUUUCCAUUUAUUCCUCACACGGCUCACACAUUCCAGGUAGCGAUCUUCAGCCUGUUUUGUUUCUUCCAUAGCGUGGGCUUUUUUGCCUGCUGCCCAACAGGGUUCCCUGAUUUUCCAGCCGGUUCAUCUUAUUUUUGUUUUCUCGAGAAAUUAUUUUUUCGCUUCUAUGGGUUUCUAGCCCAAGGAAGUAUAGCUUAAUGAGGGGGCUGCCCUUCAUUAAAAAAAAAACGAAAAAUGCACUUUACAAAGUAGGCCUACUACUUAUAUUUUGCUUUCCAUCAUUGGACUCGUGAGAUAUUUUUUGAACUGGAUAUAGCAUCAAAAAACGGUUUGAAGCUGUUUUCUAUCAAUUUGGUUGGUCAAAAAUGGGAUAGAUCCAAAAUUUCAGCUUUCCAGGUCAAUUUGAUAAGAUUUUGAAUUUUUUCUCUCAUUCUUGGUCUGAAUUUGAUUUUCAAAAAGUCGCCAAAAAUCAAAAAGUGUACUACUUCAGCAUUUGGAAUUUUGGCUGGUGAUGAAUUUUUGCAUGCGCUUUCGAUCUAGAUUUGUCCAGUUUGAAAAAUUCCGUGCGAGUUUUAUAUUAUGAUGGAAAACAAAAUCAGUGAUUUCGUCUGAACUGCAUGAGACCUGCAUGAAUCAAAAUAACCGCCAUUUUGUUGGUAAUAAGGCACUUUUUUUGACAUCGAAUGUAUUUUCGGACUCGAAUUUUUACCAAAAAAUAUCCGAAUGUCUCGAAAUGUGAUUUUGGUUUGAAAGAGUAGAGGAAUGAUGGUAGGGAGGAAUCAUUCUAGACCGAGACUUCUCCCUCGCUUUCACCACUCUGAUUACCUAAUAUCUAUGUAACGUCUUAUCAAACAUUAUCUACAGUAUAUCAAAUCACACGAUUGGAUUAAGAAUUUAGGUAAAACAGUACUCGACGCCCCAUAUAGUUGUUUCAGCUUAUUCAAAAGCGAGGUUUUCAUUUUCGUUCGUGCUGUUGGAAUAUUUUCGAAUAAAAUGGUUCAUGAAACGUAUUUUUCUAAAUUUUUCGAAAGCAUCAAGCCUCGUAAAAAAAAUAAACAACCGAUCCAACCCUAUACAUCGCCUCAGAGUCAUAAAAUCAACUUUACUUGGAUAAUAGACGAAUUAGAUUUUCACAUAAUGAAAAAGGAGUUCCUAAAAUCGUGCAAAUUUUCAGCCAUCACAAACGACGAAUCUAAAUGGCGUUUGGUCUGUUUGCCCUAUGAUAAACUUCAUAACAGCGACGACCACAUUUUAAUUGCUUUAUUCCUAUUUUUUAUUCCGGCUCCUACAGAUGUUAAAUCAGUCGCAAAAUGUGAUAUCUGUUUUCUGAAUAGUCAACAGAAAAAAAUAUAUCGAACAAGAUACGCAAUUCCUCACUGUAAUAUUAACAUGGGAUACUGUUUAUCUGAUAUUCGUGUAAAAAAAUCACAUAUUCUACCCGGAAACAAAUUAACCAUUCAAUGCCACUUGACUUAUUCUAUUUCUAAUAAAAACAA